GACCGCGUAGCUCAGUUGGCAGAGCAUCGGGCUGGUAUUCCAAAGGUCGUAGGUUCGAUUCCCACCGUGGCCA
rnacentral:tRNA from 1 species